rnacentral:lncRNA from 1 species
UGAGAAGUAUCAUGAAGCACUUAUCUAGAAGUAUUAAGGUUGGCAAAAAGCAUGCUCAAAAGAGCAAUAAAAAGAAAAAAUAUAUGACUCAAUGAAUCCCAACAAGAAUGGUUCCCAAAAGAAAUACCCCCUGAUUAUUAGAUUGAACAACAAUUAUGAGGGUAACAACACGAACUCUGAGCCUGAAUCCCUAGUAUUUCCCUUUUUG